UCCUUCGUGGUCCAAUGGCUAGGAUAGCUCGCUUUCACUUCACGCCUCGUCGUGCGUGACCCGAGCCGGCCCGGGUUCGAUUCCCGGCGGGGGAA